rnacentral:tRNA from 1 species
GCUGGCUCAGUUGGUAGGGCAUGCGACUCUUGGUCUCAGGGUUGUGAGUUCGAGUCUCACGGGUGGCA